rnacentral:rRNA from 1 species
GACGAACCGAGCGAACGUUGUUCGGAAUCACUGGGCUUAAAGGGCGCGUAGGCGGGCGGUUAAGUCUGCGGUGAAAUCCUCCAGCUCAACUGGAGAACUGCCGUGGAUACUGGCUGUCUCGAGGAAGGUAGGGGUACGUGGAACUAUCGGUGGAGCGGUGAAAUGACGUUGAUAUCGAUAGGAACUCCGGUGGCGAAGGCGACGUACUGGACCUUUUCUGACGCUGAGGCGCGAAAGCCAGGGGAGCAAACGGG